CGGAGGGUGCAAGCGUUAUCCGGAUUCACUGGGUUUAAAGGGUGCGUAGGUGGGCAGGUAAGUCAGUGGUGAAAUCCUGUAGCUUAACUACAGAACUGCCAUUGAUACUAUCUGUCUUGAAUACCCUGGAGGUGAGCGGAAUAUGUCAUGUAGCGGUGAAAUGCUUAGAUAUGACAUAGAACACCCAUUGCGAAGGCAGCUCACUACGGGAAUAUUGACGCUGAGGCACGAAAGCGUGGGGAUCAAACAGGAUUAGAUACCCUGGUAGUCCACGCCCUAAACGAUGAUCACUCGACAUCAGCGAUAAACUGUUGGUGUCUGAGCAAAAGCAUUAAGUGAUCCACCUGGGAAGUACGAUCGCAAGAUUG
rnacentral:rRNA from 1 species